GAUGAACGCUGGCGGCGUGCCUAAUACAUGCCAGUCGAGCGAACAGACGAGGAGCUUGCUCCUCUGACGUUAGCGGCGGACGGGUGAGUAACACGUGGAUAACCUACCUAUAAGACUGGGAUAACUUCGGGAAACCGGAGCUAAUACCGGAUAAUAUAUAGAACCGCAUGGUUCAAUAGUGAAAGACGGUUUUGCUGUCACUUAUAGAUGGAUCCGCGCCGCAUUAGCUAGUUGGUAAGGUAACGGCUUACCAAGGCAACGAUGCGUAGCCGACCUGAGAGGGUGAUCGGCCACACUGGAACUGAGACACGGUCCAGACUCCUACGGGAGGCAGCAGUAGGGAAUCUUCCGCAAUGGGCGAAAGCCUGACGGAGCAACGCCGCGUGAGUGAUGAAGGUCUUCGGAUCGUAAAACUCUGUUAUUAGGGAAGAACAAAUGUGUAAGUAACUAUGCACGUCUUGACGGUACCUAAUCAGAAAGCCACGGCUAACUACGUG
rnacentral:rRNA from 1 species